CCUACGGGUGGCAGCAGUGAGGAAUAUUGGUCAAUGGACGAGAGCCUGAACCAGCCAAGCAGCGUGAAGGAUGACGGUACAGCGUAUUGUAAACCUCUUUUGUACGGGAAUAAAGGCGGGGACUUGUCCCCGGUUGUGGGUACCUGAAGAAUAAGCAUCGGCUAACUCCGUGCCAGCAGCCGCGGUAAUACGGAGGAUCCGAGCGUUAUCCGGAUUUAUUGGGUUUAAAGGGAGCGCAGGCGGACGCUUAAGUCAGCGGUGAAAGCUCGGGGCUCAACCCGCAGAUAGCCGUUGAGACUGGGUGUCUUGAGUGCGGGAGAGGUAGGCGGAAUGCGCGGUGUAGCGGUGAAAUGCUUAGAUAUCGCGAAGAACUCCGAUUGCGAAGGCAGCUUACUGG
rnacentral:rRNA from 1 species